AAAUACGGUUUAAAAUAGCCUUAUCAAAAAUUACCGGUUAAAUAAAGCUGCCUUUAUAUACGUUUUGUCUUUAUUGAAGGCAGCGCUCAGCAAGAUCAUCAUCCAUGACCUCAGUUCUCCGGCUAUCGUCUUUUUUACGGUUUCUUGCAGAAGGAGGCUAUCAGCACGGAGUUGGCAAAUAUUUCGAAGUGCCAAUGGGGCAGUCGGCAUUUAGCUAUGUGCUAAAAGACGUAUUGACGCCACUACAAACACGAUUGUGUGCCAAGGGGGAAGUCUUAAUAGCAGUGCCAAUGAAAAACGGCAAAGCAAGAUGGAGUUCUAUCAAAUAUAUAGAUGUCUUGCAUCAUUUUGUGUGUGGAUGAGACGCACUUAAAAAUUAUUUCCCCAAUAAAGAAAAAUUCCUCUACUACAACCGGAAGGGCUACUACAGUAUCAAUGACAUGAUUAUAUUUGACAAUACCAUAAAAUGAGAAUCUGCUACUUGAACGCGCAAUAUUCCGGGAGCAACCACCAACCUCAUAUAUGGAAUGUGAGCUAUGGGAGAUCCUUUUUUGAGAGGAAAUAUCUAGAAGGGGAACGAAAUACUUGGAUACUAGGCAUCCGGCAACACCAUACUGUUGUAAUUCCAAUCUUCUUCUUGUUCGCGCUUAAAAUUGGAAUGUGAUUGCAUAGGCAAAUGAAUUUGCAUUUAAUUUUAAUAGAUAUAAUUAGAAUAUUAGCAUAAAAAUCGGUAAAAACACGCGUGGGAGUGUAUAUUUGGUGAAUUUUAGUGAAAUGUUAAAAAUAUAGAGUGUAAUGUGGCAAAUUAUAGUGA